rnacentral:tRNA from 1 species
UGCCCUGUAGUGUAACGGUAACACAGGUCCCUUUGGAGGAUUUAUUCAUGGUUCGAAUCCAUGCGGGGCAGCCA